UGCAGUCGAGCGGUAGCACAGAGAGCUUGCUCUCGGGUGACGAGCGGCGGACGGGUGAGUAAUGUCUGGGAAACUGCCUGAUGGAGGGGGAUAACUACUGGAAACGGUAGCUAAUACCGCAUAACGUCGCAAGACCAAAGUGGGGGACCUUCGGGCCUCAUGCCAUCAGAUGUGCCCAGAUGGGAUUAGCUAGUAGGUGGGGUAACGGCUCACCUAGGCGACGAUCCCUAGCUGGUCUGAGAGGAUGACCAGCCACACUGGAACUGAGACACGGUCCAGACUCCUACGGGAGGCAGCAGUGGGGAAUAUUGCACAAUGGGCGCAAGCCUGAUGCAGCCAUGCCGCGUGUGUGAAGAAGGCCUUCGGGUUGUAAAGUACUUUCAGCGGGGAGGAAGGCGAUAAGGUUAAUAACCUUGUCGAUUGACGUUACCCGCAGAAGAAGCACCGGCUAACUCCGUGCCAGCAGCCGCGGUAAUACGGAGGGUGCAAGCGUUAAUCGGAAUUACUGGGCGUAAAGCGCACGCAGGCGGUCUGUCAAGUCGGAUGUGAAAUCCCCGGGCUCAACCUGGGAACUGCAUUCGAAACUGGCAGGCUAGAGUCUUGUAGAGGGGGGUAGAAUUCCAGGUGUAGCGGUGAAAUGCGUAGAGAUCUGGAGGAAUACCGGUGGCGAAGGCGGCCCCCUGGACAAAGACUGACGCUCAGGUGCGAAAGCGUGGGGAGCAAACAGGAUUAGAUACCCUGGUAGUCCACGCCGUAAACGAUGUCGAUUUGGAGGUUGUGCCCUUGAGGCGUGGCUUCCGGAGCUAACGCGUUAAAUCGACCGCCUGGGGAGUACGGCCGCAAGGUUAAAACUCAAAUGAAUUGACGGGGGCCCGCACAAGCGGUGGAGCAUGUGGUUUAAUUCGAUGCAACGCGAAGAACCUUACCUGGUCUUGACAUCCACAGAACUUAGCAGAGAUGGUUUGGUGCCUUCGGGAACUGUGAGACAGGUGCUGCAUGGCUGUCGUCAGCUCGUGUUGUGAAAUGUUGGGUUAAGUCCCGCAACGAGCGCAACCCUUAUCCUUUGUUGCCAGCGGUUCGGCCGGGAACUCAAAGGAGACUGCCAGUGAUAAACUGGAGGAAGGUGGGGAUGACGUCAAGUCAUCAUGGCCCUUACGACCAGGGCUACACACGUGCUACAAUGGCAUAUACAAAGAGAAGCGACCUCGCGAGAGCAAGCGGACCUCAUAAAGUAUGUCGUAGUCCGGAUUGGAGUCUGCAACUCGACUCCAUGAAGUCGGAAUCGCUAGUAAUCGUAGAUCAGAAUGCUACGGUGAAUACGUUCCCGGGCCUUGUACACACCGCCCGUCACACCAUGGGAGUGGGUUGCAAAAGAAGUAGGUAGCUUAACCUUCGGGAGGGC
rnacentral:rRNA from 1 species